rnacentral:rRNA from 1 species
UACAGAGGUCUCAAGCGUUGUUCGGAUUCAUUGGGCGUAAAGGGUGCGUAGGUGGCGCCGUAAGUCGGAUGUGAAAUUCGGAGCUUAACUCCGAAACUGCAUUCGAUACUGCGGUGCUUGAGGACUGGAGAGGAGACUGGAAUUCAUGGUGUAGCAGUGAAAUGCGUAGAGAUCAUGAGGAAGACCAGUGGCGAAGGCGGGUCUCUGGACAGUUCCUGACACUGAGGCACGAAGGCCAGGGGAGCAAACGGG